CUUGUACAAGUCAUUGUUAAAUGCGCAUUUACGCUUCGGUAUGUUGCAGACUGACCGACUGUUUGUGUUUGCUCGCUCCUUUUAAGUCACAGAGAACUACGAAAGCCGAUCAAUUUAAUGCCCCCAAUGAACGGACAUUUCCAUCACUUAAAAAACAAAACAAAAACCGGACGCCCAGGACAAGACGCAAAAUACGGAUAUUUCCGGGGAAAAACGGACGUUUGGUCACCCUAGUGUAAGCGUGGUUUAGAUGCAACAAAAUAAGUCUGCAGCCUAUUGGGCGCCAUCACUGCUGCCCGGCGGAUCGGCUCCAACUCUGUAUUUUGAUCACCAGAGUCUCUCACGACGCUUCUCGGUGACGCCACAACGAGCUCGGGCUUGCACCUGAGUCUGCUGCACCCGCCACAGCCGCAGGCUGGAACCCCACAUGUGUCUCCCUGCUCGCUAAUGCAGUGCACAUAUCUGAUACAAGAGCCAGAACACUGGGAAGAGGAGCUAUCUGUGGGCACUCUGUUUCUCUGUGAUGUAAGGACAGAACUCUCUCACAUAAAGGAGAGAGGGAACCAAUCUGCUUUGAAUGCUCCUGAAAGGAUGGUGCAUGCCAACGUGGCUGGCAGGAGGAUGUCUUUCAUUUGGCUUCAGCACUCUGGGAGAUGACUGUGUCUGUCGUCAGCUCACAGGGCCUUGUCUGUGGGCACGGGUACCAUCAGCUGCACCAGCGCAGUGUAAAUGAAACGCCUGGCCCUGCAUUAAUGAGUGGAGACCCUGUACACAGCGAGCGAUCAAAGACAACGUCCACAACGUCCACACAAGAAACAGCCCUGAAUGAUUUUGCGUGUGAGUGUCUGAAUCCUAGAUGAGGAUUUAUGGCGGGCGGGGGCGGCGCGGUGCCCCUGUUACUGCUCAUAUCCUGUUUGCUUUGGACUCGCCAGCACGACAAGGUAGCGGCUGACUGCCUUUAGAUUGUUUGUCAUUUGGCAUUUGAAGUGGAACUAACAAGCCUAUAAAACGGUAACGAGAGAAAAAAAAGAAA